UGCUGGGCUUGGUAAUAGCCGCGGACUCAUAACCCGCUGGUUCCCGGUUCAAGUCCGGGAGGUCCCA
rnacentral:tRNA from 1 species